ACUCCCCCACUGGCAGAGCAGAAUGAGAAACUGAAAACCUGAAACAUCUUUGGCUCUGUACAGCACUGCACAGCGACAACUAAAACAUCAAACAUGCCAGUAAAAAUGGACAGAUAUUUAUCAUGUAGGUGCACACCAAGGAGAUUAAUCAUGGGAUGCUGCUUUGAUGAAUAAUGAACCAUACAAGCAUUUGUCAGGAUGCUGAUUGUAUAUUGAUGAGCAAUUACAAGCGCCUUUAUGAUAAGAGCUAAAGAGUAGGAAACAAACAGCGCUGCAACUCUGUGUAACCUACAGUUUCCACAGAAUCAGAGUGCAUCUACCUGCUAGCCUCACAUUUGGAAAACAGAAGCAAAAGAACUGAAAGUUUGGGGAGCUGUGUAAUGUCUCCUCUGAAGGACAGCUGGGCUCACCUACCAGGCUCUGUGCCAGAAACUCAA
ensembl:lncRNA